UUCGAUUGUUAAUAAAGUUUUAAACAUAGAUUUCAUCCUCUUACACAUGUUUAUCUGACAUUCAAGUACUUAAAUUCGCAAUGCGCAUCAAUCCUUCAUUGGGUUUGAGUGGCGUUUGGAGCGGGGCGCAAACUUCGCCGGAGCGUUAAAGUCACGUGGUAUGGCUGCCGCCCGCUGAUGACGUCAGCCCAGCACAAUCCAAUGGUAUUGGAGCAUCGCAGAAGUGGGACGAUCAUGGCCGUGGUAACGGCUCCAGCGAACGUGCCACCUUCUUGGUUUUCAUAGUCUGCAGAGAAACGUUGAUACUACCUGGAUUGUCACAAGCAACACCACAAUACUGUUGCAAAUUGAGGGAGAUAAUUGGAGGACUGAGCACAGGCUGGAGGCAUGACCAUUUAAAAUAUGAUAAACUAAGGGCCUGACUGCCUAAGCCCUGUUGAAGAAUGAGAAUUUCUUGAUGCACCUAACCUACAGCGCUGUUAAGUGCAUGCAUUUGAGAGGUCAUUUUGGCCGUGUGGAGGAUCAGAGGGAUCUUGGGGUCCGAGUCCAUAGGACACUUAAGGCUGCUGCGCAGGUUGACUCUGUGGUUAAGAAGACAUACAGUGCGUUGGCCUUCAUCAACCAUGGGAUUGAGUUUAAGAACCGAGAGUUAUGCCUGUUCGGCAAUAGAACAAGAUGGAAACCCAACAGGAUGAAUUCAAAUACAGAAGGUCAGAAGAAAUGGACAUGAAAUUCAAGGUGAAUUGAAACACUGCAAUGAACUUUGAAGAAAGAACAAGGAAGCUAGCACGGUAAAUUUACUGGGACAGAAAUUUGAGAUUUCCAACUUCUAUGGAGCACGACCUCACACUUUGUUCUGAACAAUAUAAUGGCACCUCCAUCACUAAACCUUACUUCUACGACAGGGAAACAACCUGGACAAACUUGAAGUUCUGUGGAAAACUCUCAAGUCUCCCAAUAUGAAAAUCUAUGAUCUAGCUCUGAGUCCUGCCUAAAACACAGUGAUGAUGGUCUAACUCAUUCAGCAUGGUGAUGGAGUUUCACCUGCAACACCUGAUGGGUUUGGGAUUUGUUGUUCCUGCUGCCAUUUUCUGUUCGGGCGACCCAUUAGUUUUUUGUGUGAGGGAGAGGGUGGGGUGUCUGGGGUUUGAUGCUCUAGCUGCCAUUUUCUGCGUGGGCACUAUUAGUUUUUUGUGGCAGGAGGGGGUGGGGAGAGUUUGAGGCUUGUGAAUUUUGUUUCUUUUUAGUGCAUGGGGGGAGGGUUGAUGUUUUUUCUUUCAAUGGCUCCCAUAGUUUUUCUGUAUAUCAUGGCUAGCUGGAGAAGAUGAAUAUUAGAGCUGCAUUGUACAUGCAUGUUUUGAUGAUAAAAUGAACCUUUGAACUUUGCCAUUCACAUGAUGAGCUGCACUGAGUACUGUAUAAAUGACCUUGUGUAAGCUUCACACUAAUGCACCAUUGCUUCUGAAUUCAUUUUAUUUCAAACCCUGGAACAAAAUUAUCAAUUCAAAUAAUUCAUUAACUCGUAAUCAGAUCAAAGCUAAAGUUCCACCACAUGCAGCCAUGCAUAGUAGUGCAUCACUAAACAACUGCUGGGAGGAGAAGACUCCAAGAAGAUCCUCCAUGAUUGCAAUUUGAAUCACUCCACGAUAUCAAGAAACAGCUGUGAGCACUGGACGCAGCAAAGGUUAAGAACAACAAAAAAAAGUCCCAGCUGCAGUUCUGAAGAGCAGUGCUUGAGGUCUAGCUGUUCCCCUAACCAAGCUAUUCCAGCACUGUUACGACAUUUGUAUUUAAUCUACUUGAUGAUGUGGAAAAUUGACAAUAUGUGUUCUGUUCACAAAAAGCAGGACAAAACAAAUCUGGGUAAUUGCCAGUUGUCUGCUCUAUAUCAUCAGUGUAGUGAUGAAAGCUGUGGAUGACAGUACUAUCAAGCAGCACUUACUCACCCAUAACCCGUUCAUGGCUAGCUUCACCAGGCCCACCCAGGUCUGGACGUUAACAUGGUUCGUGGCCCACAGAGAAUUGCAGAGGGGAGGCAAGAUUAACUGUCCUUGAUAACAGGACACCAUUUGACUAAGUAUAGUAUCAAGCACUCUGUAAAAUGGAAGUCAAUCAGCUUGAAAGGGAAAUCACUCAAAUGGCUGAACUUGAAAUUCAAAGGAAGUAGUUUGUGAUUGCUGGUCAAUCAUCCCAAAUCCAGGCCAUCACCGUAGGAGUUUGUCAGGGCACUGUCCUAUACACAAACAUUUCAUUUCCAAAUGGUUCAAUAAUUGCUCAAAAGAACAUGAAGUCAUGUCCCACGCUGCUCAAGGCUAGCUUUCACUCCAUUGUUGUAAGACUAUUGAUGGUAGAGUAAGAUGGACUCUUGAACUCACCAUCUACCUGCACUGCACCUUCUCUGUAGCUGAGACACUUUAUUCUGCUUAGUACUACCUCAACGCACUGUACAAUCAAUUAAUCUGCAUGGCCUGUAUCCAAGAUAAACUUUUCAUUGUACUCAGUAAAUUCAUUAUAUUGAUUUAUAUCAUGAUUGGGGAAUUGAGUACUACAUGCAUCUGGCACAGAAGAAUUGAGGCCUGGGGAAAAUCACCCAUGAUCAUAAGGCACAGAAGAAGAAUUUAGGCCUUUCGGCCCAUCUAGUCCGCUCUGCCAUUCGAUCAUUGCUGAUAUGUUUCCCUUAUCCAUUCCAUUCUCCUGCCUUCUGCCCACAGCCUUUGAGACCCUGACUAAUUAUGAACUUAUCAACUCAUUAAAUAUACCCAAUACUUGAUCGCCACAGCAGCCUGCAGCAACGAAUUCCACAGAUUCACCAUCUAAAGAUCCUGCCUAAAGAAAUUCCUCCUCAUCUCUGUUCUAAAGGGACGUCCUUGUAUUCAGAAGCUGUGCCCCCUGGUCCUACACUCCCCAUUACUGGUAACACCCACUCUAACUUAGCCUUUCAAUAUUCAGUAGGCUUCAAUGAGAUUUCCCUACCUCCCAGCCUUCUAAACUUCAGAAGUGCAGACCCAGAGCCAUCAAACGCUCCUCAUAUAUUAACUCUUUCAUUUCCGGGAUCAUUCUUGUAACCUCCUCUGGACCCUCUCCAAUGCCAGCAGCACAUCCUUUCAUGCAAACAAGGCUCAAGACUGCUUGCAAAUGUGGCCUGACCAAUAUCUUGUAAAGCCUCAGCAUUACAUCCUUACUUUAAUAUCCUAAUUUAAUGGAAAUGAAUGCUAUAAUUGAAUUUGCCUUAAUACUACUGACUCAAUCUGCAAGAUAAUCCUUAGAGAGUUCGGUACUAAGAAUCCCAAGACCCUUUUGCAUCUAUUUCUGAAUUCACUCCUUGUUUGGAAAAUAGUCAACACCUUUAUUCCUUCUACCAAAGUCCAUGACCAUAUACUUCCCUACACUGUAUUCUGUUUGCUACUUUUUUGCCCAUUCCCCUAAUCUGUCCAAAUCCUUUUGCAGACUCCUUGCUUCCUCAAUGCUAUCUGCUCCUUCACCUAUCUUUAUAUCUUCUGCAAACUUGAUCACGAAGCCACCUAUUCCAUCAUCUGAUCAUUAACACAUAACAUGAAAAGUAGUGGAACCAACACAGAUCACUCCAGAACACUACUGAUCACCAGCAGCCGACCAGAAAAAAACCUUUUAUUCCCACUCUUUACCUUCUGGCAGGUAGUCGAUCUUCUGUCCAUGCUAGUAUCUUUCUUGUAAUACCAUAGGCUCUUAAGAAAACUACGCUUACUUCUGUCUAUUUUAAUGUUUGCCUCCAAGUACCCCGAAACCACAUCCUUAAUAAUUGGCUCUAAAUUUUGCCAACCUCUGGUCAGGCUAACUGGUCUUUUGCCUCCCUCCCUUCUUACAGAUUGGAGUGUCAUUUGCGAUUUUCCCGCCCUGCAGAAGCAUUCCAGAAUCUAUUGAUUUUCGAAUCUCUUUAUCUACUCUUCCUGUUCAGAGUCCAUCUAGUCCAGGAGACUACCUGCAGACCUUUCAGCUUCUCAAACACCUUCUCCUCAGUAAUAAGGAGUGACCCGUGAUGCUUUCAAAUUUCUGGCAUGCUACUGGUGUCUUCCACAAUGAAGACCGACACAAAACACAAUGGAUUCUGGUUAAUUGGGGCAACAGAUUAUUUGUAACAACUCUUAAAAAAUAAAGACCAAUUGGGAAAAUUGCCAUGAUUCCCAUCUUUUAUUUAGGAUACGAUGCCACUUCUGGGGAAGGUGAUUUUUGUCACUGAUAGUGGGCUAGAAAUAAGCAGUAAGACAAUUCAGAACUGUUUUGCUCACUGCAGUUUCAAGCACUCAGGCUUGGAGUUGCCAGAAACGACUGUGAGUGAAAAUGAAACAAUUUCACUACUUCACCUAUUUUCAAGAAAUUUCAGCUAAUUGGGGCAGCAACUUAAUUGGGCCAAAAUGUAUUGCCCCUGAUGUGCCCAAUUAACCAGAAUCUACUGCACUUAUUCAGUUUGUUUCCCAGUUCUUUGCUCCCCAUUACUAUCUCCAGCAUCAUUUUCCAGUGAUCCGGUCCACUCUUGCCUCCCUUUCGCUCUUUAUAUAUCUGAAAAAUACUUUUAUAUUAUUAGCUACCUUACCUUCAUAUUUCAUAUUUUCUCUCCGUAUUGCUUUUAAUUGCCUUCUGUUGGUUUUUAAAAUGUCCCCAAUCCUUUAGCUUCUUAUCUUUUGCUUUAAUACUGUCUUUGACUUCCAUUCACAACACGCUGGAGGAACUCAGCAGCUCAGGCAGCACGUCAGGACGAAGGGUUCCAGCCCGAAACGUCGACCGAUCUUUUCUACGGAUGCUGCCUGACCUGCUGAGUUCCUCCAGCGUGUUGUGAGUGUUGCUUUGACACCAGCAUCUGCAGAUUAUUUUGUGCUUUUGACUUCCAUUGUUAGCCACAGUUGCUUCAUCCUUCCUUUGGAAUGCUGUUUCUUCCUGCAUCUUCUGACUUACUCCCUGAAACUCCAACCACUGCUGCUCUAACGUCAUUCUUGCUAAAGUCUCCUGACAAUCAUCUUCGGCCAGCUCCUCUCUCAUGCCUCUGUUGUUAUUUACUCAACUGUAAUAAUGAUACAUUCAAUUUUAGCUUCAAUCCUCAAACUGCAAGGUGAAUUCCAUCAUAUGAUCUCUACCUACCAAGGGUUCUUUACCUUAAGCGCUCUAAUCAAAUCCAGUUCAGUGCACAACUCCCAAUCCUGAAUUGCCUUUUCCUUAGCAGGGUCAAGCACAAACUGCUCCAAAAAGCCACCUCAUAGGCAUUCUACAAAUUCCUUCUCUUGUGAUCCAGCACCAACCUGACUCUCCCAAUUAACCUGCAUAUUGAAACCCCCUGUAACCAUUAUAACAUUGCCCUUUUUACAUGCCUUUUCUAUCAACGAAACCUCCCUAUUCCCUUGCCCACCUGUCUGCCCAUUAGAGAUGACAAGCAUCCAGUAGGGAUCUUCCUUCAACCACAACUCCGCGAUGCCCAGUUCAAACAGCGCUACAAGAUCAUCUACAUUAUUUAGAACAUUGUGUGCAUUCAACACCUUCAGUCCUGUACUCUACAACAUCCUUCUCAGUUUUGUCACGUCACCUGAAGUUAAGUUCAUAUAUCCCUUUCUAAACCUAUUGUCUUAUUCUUUAUUCUUGAGACCUCUCCAGCACUCUCCUUUCUUUUACAUUAUCCACACUUUUCUGAGCUGUUGAAGCUACCACCCUACUAUUUAGCUUAAAGCUUUGUCUAGAGUCCUAGUUAUGUGAUUUGCCAGGACCCAGGUCCCAGCAAUGUUCAGGUAUAGUCCGUCCCAUUGGAACUGCCAUAAUAAUGGUGCCAAUGUCCCACGAAUUCAAAUCCAUUUCUCCCACACCAAUCUUUCAAUCACAUGUAUAAUUCUCUGAUCUUAUUAAUCCCAUGCCAACUUGCACACAGCUUAGGCAACAAUCCACAAAUUAUUACCUUUGUGGUACUGUGUUUUAAUUUAGUACCUUGCUGCUUCAAUUUCCUGAGCAAAAUCUCAUUCCUUAUUCUUUUUAUGGAUCACAAUAAAUGGAUCCUUUCCCCUCCCACUCCAGAUUCCUCUGCAGGUUAGAUGAGAGGACCCAACUCAGGCACCAAGCAGACAACACAGCCUUUGGAAAUGUGAAUCCUUGUGAUAGAGAAGUGUGCGUAUUCCCCCGACUAUACUGUCGCCAAUUACAACUACAUUUCUCCUCUGCCCCUCUUGAACCACAGAGCCACGGUUCAGUUGCCCAUCCUUCCUACUGCCCCCACUCUCAUUCUCACAGGAGGCAGCAAUCUCCAACCUGUCGGGCUGAGGCCUCUCCUGCACUACCUCCUGGAGCCCCACCCCACCACCUUUACUCAGUCACACCCUCUUGUCCCUAACCACAGAUCGAAUUGAAGCAGUUCAUCUAAUUUGUGUGACUGCCUCCUGAAACACAGUGUCCAGAUAACUCAACCUCCUCCCUGAUGCAUCACAGUGUUUGAAGUUCAGAUUCCAGGCCAUCAAUUUUGAGCCUGAGUUUAAAGUACAUAAAUGCCACCACAUCCAGCCCUGUGAUUCAUUUUCUUGUGGCCAAGAAACAUAAUAGAAUUGAUGUACGACCACACCCAACAGGACGGACAAACAACCAAUGUGCAAAGAGAACAAACUGUGUAAAGACAAAAGAAAGAAAUAAUAAUAAUAAAUAAGCAAUAAAUAUCAAGAACAGAAGGUCAAGAGUCCUUGAAAGUGAGUCCACAGGUUGUAGGAACAGUUGAGUGAUGGGGUGUGAAGUUAUCCCCACUGGUUCAAAGAGACUGACGGCUGAGUGGUAAUGCCUGUUCCUGAACCUGGAACUGAGAGUCCUGAGGCUCUGGUACCACCUUCCUGAUGGCAGCAGUUAAGAGAGAGCAUAACCUGGGUGGUGGGGGUCCUCGAUGAUGGAUGCUGCUUUCCUGUAACAGCGCUCAAUGGUGGGAAGGGCUUUACCCCGAUGGACUAGGCUGUACCUAUUACUUUUGAUAGAAUUUUCCAUUCAAGGGUAUUGAUCUUUCUGUAUAAACAAACAUUUGCUGCAGCUGUGGUCACUGGGAACCACAGUAAGGUUUACCAGUUUCCACGUCAUACAGAUACAAUAAGUUAUCUGAUCCUGCCCCAAUUUGGUAUCUUUUUUAGUUAACAACUAUUAAAAAACCUUACCUGCUCCUACCUGCUACAAGAUUGUGUCUUCUUGCUCUGAAGCCUCUCAAGCCAAAGCCUCAGACCCCUACACUGGUCCACGUACACAGCAGCCUAUCGAAAAAGGCCUCCGGGAUUUUGGUAUCUGUGCCUUCUUGCCUCAAGCCAAAGUUUCGGUUCCCCACUCUAACCCUGUACAGUCUGGCAAUGGUGGUCCCACAAUGGCUGCUCCACUUAAAACUCACUUCUUACUACUGGCCCAAAUGAAACUCUGAUGCAGUGAGAUUUGCUCUUUCUGUGACUCUCACUACUCCAAAGUGAAACUCACACGUAAUGAUCCUUGUUCUUUUCAUACUGACUGGCGGCACAACCUUGGUAGGUUUGAUUGGGGGGGGGGCAGAACAGCAAACUCCUGCCCCUAUAUUUUACUGUUCACGGAUUUGCCAUUGUUUAUUAUACAUCUUUAAUCAAUUUCCCAAACUACUCUUUUGUGCAUAAUUUAAUCUCGAGUCUAAUUUUUAUGAGGUGUCACUCAAAAUUCAAGAAAAAAAUCUCCCAUUUUUACUUUUCCUAGAGAGUCCAUCACACGUACUGUAUUUAUUAAUUAAUCCUGUUUCAUUAUGAGCAAGUGUGCACUGGUGCAACAGUGUGUUCACUGGUUUGGAUUCAUUAUAGAUUUACUACUCUGGGAACCUGUUCCACAUGUAUUCAACCGACGUUAUUCUAAAAAAAUAAUAAAUGAAAAU